UUGCCUCGUUAUCUACUGGCUCGCUCGCCGGCAGUUCGUAAGAUUUACGAAUCUACUCGCGACUUAAUGCGACACAAGCUUUGAAUCACGUUGUUAAUACCGUGUCACUACUGCAUUUCGAGACGAAUUUCUCGGAAGGUCCGGAGAUUCUGAUAGCAGCGUCUGCGUUUAAUCUUCUAAUCGUGAAAAAAUAUUACACGGAAAGUUUUAUACCUUUGGAGGAGUUCGAAUGAUGACGGUAUCGGUGUUGGCUUGCCGAGGAUCAAUUUGCCCAAGAUUUUAACAUCUUGGGAUUAGAAAUGCAAUCAGGAUCAAACUCUGUGAAACGUUAUCUCAAAGAACAGUUGCGGCAUUUAAUCUCAGAAUCUUCUCAUGGGGUUCAAGCGACGACGAGUAUACUCGUCAAACGCAGUCGACUGGUUAAUCGAAUCAUAAAAAUGAACGAACAAAAUAAUCUUGAAACUAGUAUUUUGUUGAACAACUAUGAUAAGAGACCGCGAAAGACAAUUGAUCGCUAGUCAGCGUAUAGUGCGUACUCGCUAACUGUCCAAAAGUUAGUUCAAGAUUUCGCAAUGGAAUUGCCAUGUGGCUAAGUGUCGGAUCGUUAGAAUCGUAGCUUUUUCAUGCAAGAGCUCGAUGCAAUAAGAUUCAAUUUUCCAUAUAUAGUAACAAUUAUUUCAGAUUAUUAUUUUAUUUUCGAUGAUUUGGCUAGAAAAGACAGCGAGUGUUUGAAAUAAUAAUGUGCAAUUGAUCUUAUGUAAAAUAGGCGAAGUAAACUUCAAUGUCUAUACAAAUCUGUGCGUGUUUCUGUCUAUUGCGCGAACUUCCAUCAACUUGCCACGCGUCUUGAAUUCAUUACACGUCGUUUCGCUUCAUUCGUAAUGUUUUUUUAAACACGAUUCUUGUCUCUCUUUCGAUUCCCACGACCGUUCGUCUUAAUAUCAGCCGCAUGAGCGGACAACUAAAGAUACGAUCGAACAGGGUGUUGUUAUCCUCGGCGAAUGGAGAUACA
rnacentral:misc_RNA from 1 species